AGCGACAAUACUUCAGAGAAUCAUUUCUAUAGUAGUUGUCCUCUUUUGUGUUCCCUAAAGGAGCCACAGAUCCCACCCGGGUUGAUGAUCGAUAUCCUCGGCACCCUACAGUGAGGCUUUAUGUUUUUUUACUCUCGACCUGCCUGCAAAGGUGGCGGUUGUUGGCUCUUUGAGCUACAGCUGUAUAGAGAGUGGCGAUGAUCUGUACCCCGGCUUUUCUCGAGGUCUUGCCUUCGGGCGCUCGGGCGGGGUGGGUGUCGAUGGAAGUCUGACCGGC
rnacentral:snoRNA from 1 species